UUGGCCUACGGGACGCAGCAGUGGGGAAUAUUGGGCAAUGGGCGCAAGCCUGACCCAGCAACGCCGCGUGAAGGAAGAAGGCUUUCGGGUUGUAAACUUCUUUUCUCAGGGACGAAGAAAGUGACGGUACCUGAGGAAUAAGCCACGGCUAACUACGUGCCAGCAGCCGCGGUAAUACGUAGGUGGCAAGCGUUAUCCGGAUUUACUGGGUGUAAAGGGCGUGUAGGCGGGACUGCAAGGCAGAUGUGAAAACCACGGGCUCAACCUGUGGCCUGCAUUUGAAACUGUAGUUCUUGAGUACUGGA
rnacentral:rRNA from 1 species